AACAAACAACUGAAAAAUAGCGAGAGAGAAACCUUAUAACCUGGGACAGAGAGAAGAAUCAUCUUUAGCACAACCUGUCUGCACCUUCACAGCACCAUAUAAG